UCCCACAAAUAUUACCAAAUCACCGACUUAACCUCCAAAACUUUUACAAUGCACUGGAGUAUAAGAUAUCCCAAGCAUUUUAAUUGUUAAAUUUUAAUUUGUCUAUUUGAUUGAAAAUAUAACUGCUAAAAAAAUCUAAAACAUUUGAUACUGCAGAUUUUCUCAACUUCACAGGGGAAGGGAAAUAUCUCAGUUGGAUAUUGAGAUGCUCUGUGAGAAAACAAAAAUACUAUUCUUACCAUCUAUUUGUAGAAGUAGGAUUUUCUCCCCUCCUAUUCCCCUCAUCUCCUCUCAC
rnacentral:lncRNA from 1 species